rnacentral:lncRNA from 1 species
CUCACUCACCAUGCAUCGAAAAAAAAAUUGAAUGUGUUCCAGUUGAUUUGCACCUAUACCUUGGAAAAGGACUAAAAUAGACAACAAAAAUAACUUUGCCAAGUCCGGCUCCCAUACCUUUCCCUUAGAAGCAGCCAAGAAAAUUGGGUGAUCGAAAAUCGUAGCACCACUCGAUGAGGAUUGGUCUGGAUUGGAUCCUUUGUGACAAAUCUAUAUAAAUAAUACGUUCCACGCUCAGAUAAAGACAGUAGUAGUUCUUGCUCUCUCCAGAGCCGAAGGUAUAUUCAGAUAACCUUUCUUCGAGAAAAAAAAAAAAUAAAAAAAUAGCCAUUUUCAAGAAAAAUAAGAAUUUCCUUUAGUGUUUUCAAAUAGUAAGCGUUCUGAAUUUCUUGUUGACUGUGUCUCUUCUGAUUAUCAGUAUGUUUAUCACCAUUAUUUUUUCUGGGUAGGAAAGAUCUGUUUUCCUGAAACAAAUGGAAUGUACAAAUUGAGAUCUGGGAUUACAACCAUUGAAGUUGCAUCUUAUAUUAUUUGUGAAUUUAUGUGUGUUGAUGAUACUCCUAACCUGAAUCCAAGAAAGAGAUUUGAUUUUGAUUAUCUGAAACCUAUAAUUCUAGUACGUUCUUUUACAUUCAAAGAGCUUUUGAUUCUACUCGCCAUCAAAACUUGAUUCCAGAUCCCCUUUAGCUUUUUAACUAAUAAAGCCAAUAUUAUUUUGAUCAGAUAUUUGCAAAGAUGAGGGGAGGUGGGUUGUGGCAACUUGGUCAAUCAUUUACUCGCCGUCUGGCUCAGGAUAAGAAAACUAUAGUUCGUCGAUGCUUUGCAUCAGAAACUGAGCUCAAGAAGACAGCUCUCUAUGAUUUCCAUGUUGCCAAUGGGGGGAAGAUGGUUCCAUUUGCUGGUUGGAGCAUGCCAAUCCAAUACAAGGACUCAAUUAUGGACUCUACGUUAAACUGCAGGGAAAAUGGCAGUCUAUUUGACGUUGCUCACAUGUGUGGUCUAAGCCUCAAAGGAAAGGAUUGCAUUCCUUUUCUUGAAAAGCUGGUGGUUGCCGAUGUUGCUGGUCUUGCACCUGGGACUGGGACUCUGACAGUCUUCACUAAUGAGAAGGGAGGGGCUAUUGAUGAUUCAGUGAUCACCAAGGUGACAGAUGAUCACAUAUACUUGGUCGUGAAUGCUGGAUGCAGAGACAAGGAUCUUGCUCAUAUUGAGGAACAUAUGAAGGCAUUCACGUUGAAAGGUGGGGAUGUGUCGUGGCACAUCCACGAUGAGCGGUCUCUUCUGGCUCUCCAAGUGAGUUAUUGCUUUUCUUCGGUGAUUAUCUGUGAAAGUUAACCUAAUCAAUAUUAUUAAUCGAUUUAGAUAAUGUUUAGACUCUAGAACAUGCACAAUGGAAUUAAAAUUAGCAACUAAAAGUAAUAAGUCACUUUUCAAUUGUUUUUAGGUGGUUAAUCAAUCACGUCAAUUUAUCCUAUUUUAAAUUAUUACAAUUUGUAAUACAAAAGCAAUAAAGAACACCAAAUUGAUCAUGGAGAAAACCCUUCGCAAAGGGUCAAAAACUCUGGGCUCUUUGCCGGUCAAUAAUCCACUAUAAACGAAACAACUUACAGUAUGGUCUAGACCCGACUAACCAUUAAUACCCUUUGGCCUUCUUUUCUUGUAGUCACCCUUGAUCCUACUGGACUGCUUGCUCCUUACACCAGAUCCCGACUCCUGGAAUAUCGCCUUGACCCUCUUGGACUGCGUGCUCCUCACACUAAUCCCGACCCUUGGUAUAUAACCUUAGCCCUCCUAGACUACAUGAUUCUGCACCAUCUCCCGAUCCUUGGUAUUGUUUAUCUCAGGUGGUUUGGUGUUUGAUCAAAAGACCUCCCAUGUUUUGAUCUUGUGGUUUAAUAUGGAACAAUAUAUGUUUUAGAAGAAUUUAUAAAUCAAGUAAUGUGGUGGUUGAAUCUUGAAAUCAGUGGAUGUUUUGAAUUAUCAAAGAAUUGAUUCCUUUGGGAUUCAACACACUAUGUGAUGUCUAUUGGUCAGUAUAUAUAGGGAAAAGUAUUUGGAAUGGAAAGGGUGAUUUUUGCAAACAGGGAUUUCUGGAUGUCGACUAUUGCUUGAGCGCAAGGUGAGCGGCCCGCUUGUCGCUCAAGCACCAGUCUAGUGUUAGACGGGCAACAGAUGUUCUGUUUCUAUCUCUAGAGCGCCUGCUGGGCGGCAGGCUAGUGGAAAUGAGUAAUUCUCAAUAUCAACUUCUUUAAGUCCAAAUCUUGAUCUUCUUCUUGUAUUUCUUUGACUUCAUUUUGGACUCUAUCAACCCCAAACAAUACUUACCAUAACUUGGACUAUUCUAAACCAAUUCAGGCUUUGAUUACAAUAUAAUCAAAUCCUAAUACAACUCUAAUAAAUUAUGAUUUUUGUCUUAGGAAAUUGCCAAUUACAAAAUAGACUUUACAAUCUGGAUAUUAUAUGAUAAUAAAAUUUAAAACUUUAAUCUUAAUGCUAUUGAACAUGAAUGGUAUUCAUGAAUUGGGCCCUAUCCUUAUAAAAACUCAAAUAUAUUAAUAAAAGUGAUUGCUUUACAUAAUGACAUUGUGGUAUUCGUGUAUCGUAGCUGGCCAAAAUGUCGAGAUCAAUAAUCAUGAUAUUUGUUGCCUCUUUAUCAUAUCUCACAUUUAUAUUUUUUUUCCUUGUCCUGCCUUGUUCGCAGAUGUUUGCCCAUGCUCUUGCUUACAAUUUUGGUAAUGUAGUGUUUAUUGAAGAAUGCAGUAUAACUCUGUAUCCUUAAGUGUUUGCUGUGCUAACAUAGGCAUCACAAAUAACAAUAUUCUGUGAUGUAAAGUAGCUUGUCUACUGUGGUUGCUUCUUGAAUGCAUUGGUAGGUCACUGGGAACACUGAGUCUACUUCUGGUCUAUAUUCUAUUUUCACUUCGCUUGUGCUGAAUUUAUUCACUUGCUCUGUUGCUCUAAAUGAAGAUAUAUUUUGUCCUUGGAUUUCUUUGAGUCAGUUGUCUUUCUUUAUUGUACAUUUUUCUUCAUCGGUUCUUUAUUUCCCUGCAUAUAAUUGGAGGUAGACACUGAGAUUUUCAACUUGUGCUCUAACUCUGAUUAUUUCCCUUGACGUUUCUGGUGCAGGGUCCCCUUGCUGCCACAGCUCUACAGCACCUGACAAAGGAAGAUUUGAGCAAGGUGUACUUUAGCGACUUUCGGAUCUUGGAUAUCAAUGGGGUGCCUUGCUUUCUUACACGAACAGGGUAUGUUGCUUUCUGGACAUUGUAUCUGUUGAUCACUGUCUUUAUGUGAAGAGAGGGCAUAAUGAGAACUUACCUUCUGGGAGUUAUGCCAACAGUUUACUUUAUCUUUCCGAAAUAGAAUUGAUAAACCAGAAAAAAAUCUUAAGUCCAGCGAAAAGCCAUGGCAGGGUUGAUUAGAUUGGCAUAAAUUGAUAACUUUGUUAUUUCAUCUUGCUUCCAGAUUGUUCUGCAAUUAUCAGAAGUAAAUUUCCCUUCACUCCCUCCUCACUGAUGUCAUAUGUUUUCUCUCUUCGUGCUUUUGAACUCUUACCCUUUUGUUGGAGAAAAAAACACGGGUUUUUCAAAACAUGAGUCAGUCAAGUUUAUGAACUUUCAGGUAUACAGGUGAAGAUGGGUUUGAAAUUUCAGUUCCUUCAGAGCAUGCAGUUGAUCUGGCAAAAGCUAUACUGGAGAAAUCUGAAGGCAAAGUACGGUUGACAGGAUUAGGCGCCCGAGACAGUCUUCGACUGGAAGCUGGGUUGUGCUUGUAUGGAAAUGACAUGGAACAGCACACCACACCAGUCGAGGCAGGACUUACGUGGGCCAUAGGUAAGAGAAGACGGGCUGAAGGAGGAUUCCUUGGUGCUGAAGUAAUACUCAAACAAAUCGAACAGGGACCAUCCAUUAGGCGAGUUGGUUUUUUCUCCUCAGGUCCACCUCCAAGAAGUCACAGUGAAAUUCAGGAUGAGAAGGGGCAAAACAUAGGGGAAGUCACCAGUGGAGGGUUUAGCCCCUGUCUGAAGAAAAACAUAGCCAUGGGAUAUGUGAAAUCUGGACUCCACAAGGCAGGCACCAAUGUAAAAAUUAUCAUUAGGGGUAAGUCCUAUGAUGGAGCUGUUACAAAAAUGCCUUUUGUACCCACAAAGUACUACAAGCCAUCUUAAUUGUUUGUUGGCUCCUGAAAUUUUCAGAUUUUCAUAUCUGAAUUGUUUUUCAGUAAUACUAAAGAUGCUUUAAUCAGUUCUGAUCUUCAUUACUGUUGAGUUUGCCAAGUUAAAUGAAGUACUCUGUUUUAUGUGAACUAGAAAUUGAACUUGUAGGGCAUCUUUGUUACAAUGUACUGGACUCGAAUCCAUUAUUGUUUUACAUGCAGAAGACCUUAAACAACAGAAUACAACAGGAAGAUACUGGGGUUAUGAAAACACAGAUUCAUGCAUAAAAACACCGACUCUUUGAAUUAAGAAAAUUAAAUGAGAAAAAAAAUCGAAAAAAGGAAUGAAUGGUGAUUAAUGAAGAAUGUUUCCAAUUUCAAUACUCAGAAGAGCUUGCUUGCAAAUUCUUCAAUGGUCUCUCCAUUUUUACUCGAGGAAGCUGAUGCCAUGGCUAGUUCUUUGAGCUGCUUUAAGCUUCUUCCCAAUUGUAAAGCCACCUUUGUUUCAUAUAAGUCCCCGUUUUCUCUCCUUUCCAAUUCUCCUUCAAGAGUGGAUUCAAUUGAUUCCUCCAAAAGCUGAUAGAAACCUGCAGCGUUUCUGUAUAUUUCAAAAACCAUCCCUAUCUGUCCACCAUGCUCAAGAGAAUUCACAAUGGUAGCCAUUGUGCCGGCCCCGACUGCAAUAUAAAUCGCCAAAGAAGUGGAACCCACAAAAGCUGAUCCGAUAGCGGCCAUCCCAGUAAGCACAGGCCCCAUAAUAGCGAAAAUUUUGUUCAACCUCAGGGCUAUGUUGCCUAAUCUUAUGUAAUCUUCUUUAUCUUUUCUCUUCACAACAUCAAUAAUUUCUCUCAUUUCAUUUUCCAUUUCUUCAGUCCAUCCAUUACAGUCUCUUUCUUGAUCUUCUAGUCUUCUCUCUCUUUGGUAUAGAUCAUUUAGAGGUGGCCACCAUACUGUAGGCUUUAAUUUGGCUGGAAACUUUUCAAGCAUAACUCCAAUCAAAGGAAGUGGAUAUGCUUUAUCAAGAGCUAAAACUCUUUCCAUCAUAUUAUUCACAUCUGUUUGAUUGAGAUGGUGAUGAUCAAGAGCCAGUAGAGUCUCGAUUUCUCUGUGUAUUUGCUUAAACAAUCUUGAAGCAUUGCGCUGUUCUUCGACUAGUUGUGAUGGCUGAAGCUUGUUCAUCGCCAUCAACAUCCCUGUAACUGCAGAAAACAACAGACACGACGAAAAUUUGAACGCUAAAACCGGCAUCUCCACCCCACCGAUCGCGCCGAGUCCCGCCAUAGUUGUGCCGGUGAGAGUGAUCAUGUUAAUAGAGUUCAAGAGAAGUGAGUUCCAGUUAUCACGCUGCUCGCCAAUAUUCGUAUGCAUCUCCACUCGAUCGGCCACCGCCUCUAAUAUUGCAUGUAGCUUGGCGAUGGCAAUAUCAUUAUCCUUUCCACAUUUUUCGAUAGUUUGCAUCUGUCUCUGAUUUUCUCCGGUACACAUCGAAUUCUCAACCGAAUAUUUCUGUUGGUAUAUGUCUUCACCAACUGAUUUUUGGGCAUCGACAAAGGAAAAGCCUGCGUUAUCGAAUGAUACCGCAUUUUUACGUACAUUUUGCAUGGCAAUUCUGUUGAUGGAACCAUGUCUUGUUCUGAACAUUUUCAGUUUAGGGACAUCGAUGAAAGCAUUAAUUUUCUUUGAAGAACAAGUAAUGGAUGACAUUUGUAAAGCCAUUUGUUCUUGUCCUUAGUUCAGAAUUUUU